UUCCUACGGGAGGCUGCAGUCGAGAAUCUUCGUCAAUGGGCGAAAGCCUGAACGAGCGACGCCGCGUGCGGGAUGAAGGCCUUCGGGUUGUAAACCGCUGUCAGUGGGAAGGAAAUGCCGGAGGGAUCACCCUCCGGUUUGACCGACCCGCAGAGGAAGGACGGGCUAAGUUCGUGCCAGCAGCCGCGGUAAUACGAACCGUCCAAACGUUAUUCGGAAUCACUGGGCUUAAAGGGUGCGUAGGCGGCCCGGCAAGUUGGGUGUGAAAUCCCUCGGCUCAACCGAGGAAUAGCGCCCAAAACUGCCGGGCUUGAGGGAGACAGAGGUGAGCGGAACAGCGGGUGGAGCGGUGAAAUGCGUUGAUAUCCGCUGGAACACCGGUGGCGAAAGCGGCUCACUGGGUCUUUACUGACGCUGAGGCACGAAAGCCAGGGGAGCGAACGGGAUUAGAUACCCUAGUAGUCGC
rnacentral:rRNA from 1 species